ensembl:lncRNA
CCCCCCAUCAGACCUGUGCUCCAGACCCCUCACAGCUUCGCUGCCCUUCUCUGGACACGCUCCAGUGCCUCAAUGUCUUUCACACAGUGAGGAGCCCAAACCCGAGCACAGCACUGAGGUGCGGCCUAAACACUCACAGCCCACCAGGAACUUCUGGCGGUCCCGCGGACUGCGAGACGCAACUGAAGCUCACCCAUCUGAAAGCAAAAGAGUGAAAAGAGCCAAGCCGAGUUUAUUGAAAGCAUCCACGGUAACUUUUUAUUGAAGACCCGUAGAAAGCAGCACGGAACACUGAGCGAUGCCACGGCUCCCUGCAGGACCGAGCUCCUCGCGCAGCCCUCCAACUCCCGCUCCUCAGCACACGGCUCUGCGGGACGCCCAUCGCCACCUUCAUUAACCCUUGCCUCCCUACAGAGCAGAACGAGCAAAGCCAAGCGCCGCACGCGGAGCGCCGCGUACCUACCGCUGAGCGGGCGCCAGGCUCCGAGAGGGGCCGGGGCCGGGCGGGUCCCAGCGGCGGGGGCACCGCGCGGCCGAGCGCUGCGGCGGGACAUGGCUCGGGGACACCUUAACCCCGCGGCCGGACGGGAAAUUCCACAGUCUGGAGCGGCCGGGUCCAUCGCCAUGAGAACGGUCUGCUCUGCACACCUGAGGAAGUGCAACAAAGCAGAGAAAACAAGACAAAAAGAAAAGGAGAUAAAGAGCCCUCUGUGCCCCAGGCGCUCUCUGAUGCUGUCACACCAAAGCCAGCCGAGCACAGGGGACCCUUUCAGCUGUACAGGUGCAGCAGGUCAGCCUCUUGCCUUUGAUGGCUCGAGCAAGGGCUGGGAGCAGCUCCAGUGUCUUUGCACACAAGUGCUGCACGAGUUAAAUCCGAG